GAUGACCAUUUUGCUCUAACUCUAAUAAAAAGAAAAACUAUCUUCACCAGAAAAGAGCUAAAAUAAUGUCUGCAAAAAAUCUUCAACUUGCGUUUCUGCUAUUUGCUUUUUGUUUUCUUUCUUCUCGGUUAAUUGCUCCAACAAUUGGGUGUCACUACAAAGGUCCUUGCCAAACUAAUAAUGACUGCAAGACCAUUUGCACAGGUCCAGGGGAAGAUCCUACUUUUCAACUUUGCAUUAAAAACGCUCCACCAGCAGCUGAUCACAAAUGUUGUUGUGUACCACCCCGCGGCCCUCCAAUUAAAAAUAGUUUUGAUCUACAUUGAUGCAUCCAUAUAAAGUAAUUUGUAUCAUCACCUACCAUAAAGUUUCAAAUUCCUUAAUAAAACCUAUUCUCCUGAUCAAAAAA